GCCAGCAUGGCAUAGUGGUUUGUGUGUUGGGCUGCAAUUCUGGAGACCAAGGUUCGAUUCUUGAGUCAGCC